CCGACUUAUUGUUUUUUUUUUUCCAGCUUUACAACAAAUCACUGAGUGAGAUUCAGACCAUCACCGAGAACAAAAAUCAGACAUGAUCAGAUCCUGCUGACUCAUCAUCAUCAUCAUAAAAAAAAAAUUAAUCAAUAUAUCAUCACCAUCAUCAUUAAUGUAAUAAGAAUCUUUAUUAAACGUAAAGACAAACUACAUGUUUAAGAUGAAUGUUUUUCAGGAGAAGAGAAGAAAGCGUCGUAAAGAGUUCAGAGUUAAUUAGUAGUGAAGAAAAUAUGGAGAAGAUAAUGCACAGAGAAGUUGAGAAACAAAGGAGACAAGAAAUGACUUCUCUUUACGUGUCUUCUCGGUCUUCGCUCUAUUGAGUUCAUCCAGCUGGGAAAGCGUUCUACGUCAGAUCAGUUGAACGAGGAGGUGAAUUACAUAAAGUAUCUUCAGAGGGGGAGUAUAAAUGCACACGGUCAGAUAACUGGAUUUAAUUGACUUCGCCGAUUCAAGAAUACACUUCCAUGCUUACCCUAAUGAACUAAUUGUUUCCUUAACUUCUCAAACCCAAAACGAUGCAUAUACAUAGACUGUUUCCUUGCACUUGUACUGUAAAUUUGUAUAUUUAUGUGUUUGCUGAUUUUGAAAAGAAAUUGUGUGCUUCCCUAUUUCUAAAGA